rnacentral:rRNA from 1 species
GGGAGGGGUGCAAGCGUUGUUCGGAAUUAUUGGGCGUAAAGAGCGUGUAGGCGGUCCGGUAAGUCAGAUGUGAAAGCCCUGGGCUCAACCCGGGAAGUGCAUUUGAAACUACCAGACUUGAGUACGGGAGAGGAGGGGGGAAUUCCCGGUGUAGAGGUGAAAUUCGUAGAUAUCGGGAGGAAUACCAGUGGCGAAGGCGCCCCUCUGGACCGAUACUGACGCUGAGACGCGAAAGCGUGGGGAGCAAACAGGAUUAGAUACCCUGGUAGUCCACGCCGUAAACGAUGAGCACUAGGUGUAGCGGGUAUUGACCCCUGCUGUGCCGUAGCUAACGCAUUAAGUGCUCCGCCUGGGGACUACGGUCGCAAGACUA